GGACGUGUGCCCGACAGUUAAAGGACUACUUUGAUAGAGUAACUCAUGGGGGUUUAAUUCCCCCCACCUCCU
rnacentral:tRNA from 1 species